GUCAGUUUGGCCGAGUGGUUAAGGCGUUGGACUUGAACGUGCGGCUCAGCCCGCCAAGCCAUCCAAUGGGGUUCCCCCGCGCAGGUUCAAAUCCUGCAGCUGACG